rnacentral:rRNA from 1 species
UACGUAGGGUGCAAGCGUUGUCCGGAAUUAUUGGGCGUAAAGAGCUCGUAGGCGGUUUGUUGCGUCGGCUGUGAAAUCCCGAGGCUCAACCUCGGGUCUGCAGUCGAUACGAGCAAACUAGAGUGUUGCAGGGGAGACUGGAAUUCCUGGUGUAGCGGUGAAAUGACGCAGAUAUCAGGAGGAACACCGGUGGCGAAGGCGGGUCUCUGGGCAACAACUGACGCUGGAGGAGCGAAAGCGUGGGGAGCGAACAGGAUUAGACUACCCGGG